ACAAGGAAGCAUAAGGGAAAAAUUAAAGGGGAAGCUGACUGAAAAAGAGAGUGGGAGGGGAGAUCCCCAGUGAGAAAGGAUUAGUAACAACAUUUUGGGAGUUUUUCCUUUGUUUCCUAUAGAAAGUUCUUAUUUACAUAAAACACGGAGAUUGGCCCUAACCACAGUCAGACUCAAUAUGAUAAUAUUAAAAAAACUUGAGGUAUUUUUUACUAUAUAGAGAAACUCAUAAAUAAGAAUGACAAUUUCUUGGUGGAUACCAAGAAAAAGAUCUGCUCUCACAGGUGAUGGAAUUGAGGCUUAAUUUGAGACCUAACUGGCAGCAGGUGGGGGUGUGAGCUCACGGAGUGUCCUAGAAAAACAGAAUCAUUUUCAAAGGUGCUUAGGACUGCAAGAAAGGUGUAUUUGUGAUGCCUAAGAAGAAAGCAUGCAGCAACCUGGUAGUAGAGAACCCUUGCAAGUAAACCUGAAGAGUUAAGGACUCAAGAGUGGAAUCGCAGUCUGUUCACUGGAGGGAAAAAAGUUGAAGUGUGAAGCCUGAAGGUGAGCCUAGACUUAUCAGACACCAAGCUGAAGAGCAAGCAACAUGAUUUUUCAGAAAUGAGCCUUGUACAGAUUAAUGUGUUUUAUCAGUAGUUCACAUGCUCAUAGCUUGAUGCUGAUUCUUUGUAUUUAGUGAAAAGAGCUAGGAAUUAUACAAGUAUUCCUUCAGCUGAGAGCUGAAGUCUUAUUGCUAUGUUGAAAUUUUGACUAGCAAAGCGAGGUGAUAUGAAAUUAAUGGUAAGAAUAUAGAAAUCACUUACUGCCUUCAUCCAGUUUUUGCAAAAAUAUUCUGCUAAAGGCAUUUAAUUUUAGUAGUACUGUUAUCAGGUAGCCAUAAUGAAAUUACCACCUUGUUCAGAGCUUGAUCUUCCAGUAAUUUGAAGUGAACGUGUCAGAAACACACUGCCAGCAAAAGUAUAUCUUUCAGUUCUAGCUGGGUACAAGACAAGUGUUUCUACUGUGUUAGCUGGCUAAUGGGCUGUGAGGCUUGUAGAGAUAGUAAUGCACAGAACUGAGCCUGUAUAUUAGUUAAAGUAGGACUUCAAUAAAUACUCCUGGGAAGACUUCAUUGUUGCGAUUAAAAUGUUUACAAGCAAAAAUAUCUGUUUUUUGACAUGUCUCUGUAGUUCAGGGCUGUUAUUCAAGUCUGAUUUUUCCAAAGCUAUUGUUUGGCAAAACGUCUGGGGAUUUCAUUAGUUCAUUGAACUUUAGCUUCUGGGUUUGUGUGGAAGCUACUAGAAAACAUUCAUAUUAACUUCUGGAAAACAUUCUAUAUCGUUACAUAAACUUCUCAUCUUGUAAAUUCUGGGAACAAUAAAGACCCCAAGGACAUACAAAGUAUGAUUCUGUUCCUACAUGUGACUAUUGCCUGACUGGAAAGCUGUGGGUACUGUGGGGAAGACAUCCAGCCUGUGACUAUGCUGGCAGUGUUAGGAAGUCCGUAGCUGGACCUUGGUAGUCAAUCAUUCACCUGGAAGUACAGGAAAAAAGGUAUGCAUUGUGAGCUGGAUGGAAGCUCUUGGCAAGAGUGCAUGUGUGUUGAAAAAUGCCAUUCUGGUUGGAGGUGGGUAGAGAACAAACACUUUUUCUUUUUUGUGAAUUUUCAUCUGGGAAAUUUUGCAAAUUUUUCCCCAGAAUGACCUUUUGUUUUGAAAAUGGCAUUUGGACAAGAUGUUCCUAAAUGAUUUCAACGUUUAACAUUUGAAGAUGCUUGAAAAGGCAACUAAAUGCAAAUGUAAACUAUAUGCAAACUGCAGUCCUAGGAAUAAGACUUCUGUUUUUGUGCUAUGUGCCUGAAGUAAAUGAUUACUUUUUGUCUGUGCUAUGACAUGAAGGUGCUGUGGAGUGAGUAAAUUCGCGUAGGAAGACACUGGCUGUUUGCUGUAAUUUUGUGGUAAUAUUGCACAUCAUUGAUUCUACUAUAAGAAUGUAGGUUAGCUUCAAUUCCCCCUCGCUGUUAGAACAAUCAUCAGCAGAUGUAAUUGUGGAUAUUAAUUCAUGUGUUUUUCUGAGCGCUUUGAGUAACGUGGACGAAAAUCAAUGUUUCAUUUCUGAUCUGAUCCUGAAUGCAAAUAAUCUUUAAUAAACUAAAUUAGCCCCAU
rnacentral:lncRNA from 7 species